GAUGAACGCUGGCGGCGUGCCUAACACAUGCAAGUCGAACGGACUUACAUUGAAGCCUAGCGAUAUGUAAGUUAGUGGCGGACGGGUGAGUAACGCGUGGGUAACCUGCCUUGUACUGGGGGACAACAGUUGGAAACGACUGCUAAUACCGCAUAAGCGCACAGCUUCGCAUGAAGCAGUGUGAAAAACUCCGGUGGUACAAGAUGGACCCGCGUCUGAUUAGCUAGUUGGCGAGGUAACGGCCCACCAAGGCGACGAUCAGUAGCCGGCCUGAGAGGGUGAACGGCCACAUUGGGACUGAGACACGGCCCAAACUCCUACGGGAGGCAGCAGUGGGGAAUAUUGCACAAUGGGGGAAGCCCUGAUGCAGCAACGCCGCGUGAGUGAAGAAGUAUUUCGGUAUGUAAAGCUCUAUCAGCAGGAAAGAAAAUGACGGUACCUGACUAAGAAGCCCCGGCUAACUACGUGCCAGCCGCCGCGGUAA
rnacentral:rRNA from 1 species